UACGUAGGGUGCGAGCGUUGCCCGGAAUUACUGGGCGUAAAGCGUGCGUAGGUGGUUGUUUAAGUCUGUUGUGAAAGCCCUGGGCUCAACCUGGGAACUGCAGUGGAAACUGGACAACUAGAGUGUGGUAGAGGGUAGCGGAAUUCCCGGUGUAGCAGUGAAAUGCGUAGAGAUCGGGAGGAACAUCCAUGGCGAAGGCAGCUACCUGGACCAACACUGACACUGAGGCACGAAAGCGUGGGGAGCAAACAGG
rnacentral:rRNA from 1 species